rnacentral:rRNA from 1 species
UCGAGGAUCUUCGUCAAUGGGCGCAAGCCUGAACGAGCGACGCCGCGUGCGGGAUGAAGGCCUUCGGGUUGUAAACCGCUGUCGAGGGGGAGAAAGGCCCGCAAGGGCUUGAUCGAUCCCUGGAGGAAGGACGGGCUAAGUUCGUGCCAGCAGCCGCGGUAAGACGAACCGUCCUAACGUUGUUCGGAAUCACUGGGCUUAAAGGGCGCGUAGGCGGCCCGUCAAGUCGGGGGUGAAAUCCCACGGCCCAACCGUGGAAGGGCCUCCGAUACUGACGGGCUCGAGGGAGGUAGGGGCAGGUGGAACUUCCGGUGGAGCGGUGAAAUGCGUUGAUAUCGGAAGGAACGCCGGUGGCGAAAGCGACCUGCUGGACCUCUUCUGACGCUGAGGCGCGAAAGCCAGGGGAGCGAACGG